AGCGCUCAGUGAGCUGGCCGUGGCUCAUCGCCGCCCCAAAACCUUCACUCAGGAAGGAGUCCCCGAGACCGGAGCCUCAGUUCAAGAAGGCUGGGAGGAGAAGUUCAGGAGGCAGCCAGCCAGCCAACCUGGAGAUCCUGGAGCAGGAGCGUCCAGCUCAGAGCCGGAGGCCACCAUCAGCGAGCUGUGGAGACGAGCAGCGCCGGACACCCUGCAGGGAGACGCUCAGCCUGGGAAGCUGUCCCGACAGUCUCCUGAGCUUUCCAGAUGUGAGAGAGCACCUUCAGACUCACCGCCGAGCCGAGCCCCGGCCAGCGUCUCCAGCUCCCAGCUGCUCCUCUGUGAGGAGCACCGGGUCCAUGAGGAGCACCGGGUCCAUGAGGAGCACCGAGUCCAUGAGGAGCGACCAGUCGAUGGGAAACCCCAUCCUGUUCCAGAACUCACCAGCAUCCUGUGAUUCCAAGCAGGACUGACCUUCACCGCAGCUCCGAGACGAGGAGCUGCAGCUCGUUGACAAGUUCAAGAUCAGCUUCUUUUACAAAAUCACCGUCUCAAAACUACAACCCUGAAAAACAGGAUGACACCCCCUCACUGAGCACUCAACAACAUGUAGCUAAUGUUCUCCUCCAGCUAACAACAUGUAGCUAAUGUUCUCCUACAGUUAACAUGUAGCUAAUGUUCUCCUGUAGCUAACAACAUGUAGCUACUGUUCUCCUCCAGCUAACAACAUGUAGCUACUGUUCUCCUACGGCUAACGACAUGUCAGCUAAAGUUUUCCCAGCUGCUAGUUUUUCCAGCUAACAGCAUGUAGAUAAACUAAUGUUUGACUGAGGAGUGAUCAGCUGGAAGAGCGAAGAAUUACAUUUUAGAUGACCAUCCCUUUAAGUCUGAUUAUAAAUUAGCCAUUAUGUGUCUAAACUGUUGCUGUGGUUAGUAAAGUGGAUCCCCUUAAAGCCAAGUUUGUGUGUGUGUGUGUGUGUGUGUGUGUGUGUGUGGUGCCUGUUCUCCAUUUAUGUUCUCCAGUCUGUUAGUAAGAGGAACACAUGACAGAACUUCUGUAUUAUAAAGCAAUAAAUCUUUGAGAAUCUAUUUUGGAUAACGGGCCCUGUGUUGGUUUCUUUUCUUGAGGCUGAAAGAGGAAAUGAUUCCAGAAACUUCCUCAUUUCACAACAACAGAGCCGAGUUUACGACAGAGACUCGGAGGUGGAGGCACACACAUCUGAAGUCAGGGUCAGCGUGGAUUCAUCGUGAAGGAUCAACUCAAACCCAGCGGCCUGGUUUGGUUUUGUUGUGUGUUUUUUUAGAGCCACAGAUCCAGACUGGAAGGCAAAAGGAAUCAGGCAGUGAUGGAUACAAGUUCAGGAAAACUGCAAACAGCCAAGCAGCAGAGUCGGCGCACACCACCAACCUUUUCCUGCACCGCCAGAAAAGCUGCAGCCACACCGAACAUGCAGAGACUUCGGCUUGAAGCAAGCUACAGGAGCAGGACACACAGUGACCCAUCUGCUGGAGUUCGACCCAGUUUCUGGAAUGAAGUCCAAACGUCUUCAGACGCUCAUCAAGAUUUAAUCCCUUCACUUCGCUGUCACUCUCCCUUGGAGUUGGAAGAGGCGGCGGCUGAAUGCUGCUGCCUGUCUGACAUUCCUGUGGAGUCAUGAUGGCAUCGCCUCGUGUUUUCCAUUUAUAUGGCAGUUUAACAUUUUAAAAAUCAUUAUCAUGAUACUGAUUUCAAACAUACUGCACUGCUCUGUAUGCCUUUUUCUUCAUUUAAAAAAAAAAAAACUUUUUUCAUGAGGAAAUUACCAGAAACUGAACUGUGAUCAUGAUGUAGCAAUUUCCUACGUGAUUGUCACUAUCUUUAUUAAAUACCGUAUUUAUAUUAUUUACAACGCUAUCAAUAUGAUACACUCUGCAUAAGGCAUAGCAGGUUUCACUUGUUUUAUUACUGCCUUUAUCUGUUGAAUUGUCCUUUUCUGUAUCAAACACCUCAACAUUUAAAUAGAAAAACAGCUUUGUGGAUCAGGUUCUGAAUCCCCACCUUGUCUGGAUGUGGAAGAAUGUGUUUAACUGGAUGAAUGCAAAGCCGUGUGUUGAUUGAUGAGACAUAAUUCACUGACAUCACAGGGUUCUUGCACCUUUUCUUAAGUCAAAGUCCAGCACUCCACGAGCGUUUCCAAGCUGCAUUUUCAAGCUUUUCCAGCUGUGAUAAAUUAAAUAUACUCAGAAUGAUUAUUACACUUCUUCAUCACUUUA